rnacentral:rRNA from 1 species
UGGGGGAUAUUGCACAAUGGGCGAAAGCCUGAUGCAGCGACGCCGCGUGGGGGAUGAAGACUUUCGGGUUGUAAACCUCUUUCGCUAUCGAACAAGGCCCGCUUAGGGUGGGUUGAGGGUAGGUGGAGAAGAAGCGCCGGCUAACUACGUGCCAGCAGCCGCGGUAAUACGUAGGGCGCGAGCGUUGUCCGGAAUUAUUGGGCGUAAAGGGCUUGUAGGCGGCUUGUUGCGCCUGCUGUGAAAACGCGGGGCUUAACUUCGCGCGUGCAGUGGGUACGGGCAGGCUUGAGUGUGGUAUGGGUGACUGGAAUUCCAGGUGUAGCGGUGGAAUGCGCAGAUAUCUGGAGGAACACCGAUGGCGAAGGCAGGUCACUGGGCCAUUACUGACGCUGAGGAGCGAAAGCAUGGGUAGCGAACAGG